rnacentral:SRP_RNA from 1 species
CUGUGCUAGACGGGGAGCUAGCGGUGCCCUGUAACCUGCAAUCCGCUUUAGCAGGGUCGAAUUCCCACUCUGAGGUCCACCCGCCCAUCUGAUGGUUUCAUGCCUGUGGCGUUGAGGACGCAAGCCCCGCGCAACAGAACCGCACCGAACCCCGUCAGGACCGGAAGGUAGCAGCGGUAAGUGCGCCGUCUGUGUGCCGCGGGUUUCCUUGCUCUGAGCCACAAGCUGGAACCGCGGAUGGGAAAUGGGGGAUCGAAGGUGGGUGCACAG